UGUGGGAGCGAGCCUGCUCGCGAUUAGUAUCACCUCGGUCCGACAGCCAGAUCGAGGUGUCUGCAUCGCGAGCAGGCUCGCUCCCACA
rnacentral:misc_RNA from 1 species